GGUGGCUAUGGUGAAGGGGUCUAACACACAUGACUGUGACUCAUGCAUUCGUGGGUUCAAAUCCCACUAGCCACCCCA
rnacentral:tRNA from 3 species